rnacentral:pre_miRNA from 1 species
GUUUUGUUAGAAGGUUAUGUGUUAGCUCAGGACUUCAUUAUUUCUCGUCUGACCUUUUGCAGUAGCCUUCUAACUGGUUGC